AUGGCGGGACGAGGAGAAAGGGUUGAGGGUGGGGAAGGCCUGGGAUGGUGCCACCAUGGUGGGACUGGGGGGGGACAAGAGACACCCGGGGGGUCCCUCACCCUCCGCUGCAAGGGCUCCGGCUUCACCUUCAGCAGCGUCGCCAUGGGAUGGAUGCGACAGGCCCCCGGGAAGGGGCUGGAGUACGUCGCAACUAUUAGCAACACUGGUCGUACCACAGUCUACGCGCCGUCGGUCAAGGGGCGCUUCACCAUCUCCAGGGACAACUCCCAGAGCACGCUCACGCUGCAGAUGAACAGCCUCCGGGACGACGACACGGCCACCUACUACUGCGCGAAAAGUGCUGAUGGUGGUUGUUGUUAUGGUGCUGGCACCUUCCCCGACACCAUGUCCCAACUUCCCUGUGUUGGGUCCCCUCCUCGACCAAUUUUGCCCCAGACGUAA